rnacentral:rRNA from 2 species
CAGCCGCCGCGGUAAAACCAGCACCCCGAGUGGUCGGGACGAUUAUUGGGCCUAAAGCAUCCGUAGCCGGUCCUGCAAGUCCUCCGUUAAAUCCACCCGCUCAACGGUUGGGCCGCGGGGGAUACUACAGGGCUAGGAGGCGGGAGAGGCAAGCGGUACUCGAUGGGUAGGGGUAAAAUCCACUGAUCCAUUGAAGACCACCGGUGGCGAAGGCGGCUUGCCAAAACGCGCUCGACGGGGAGGGAUGAAAGCUGGGGGAGCAAACCGGAUUAGAUACCCGGGUAGUCCCAGCUGUAAACGAUGCAGGCUCGGUGAUGGACUGGCUUCGCGCCAUUCCAGCGCGCAGGGAAGCCGUUAAGCCUGCCGCCUGGGGAGUACGGCCCCAAGACUGAAACUUAAGGAAUUGGUUGUGUGAGCAU